UUCGUAUAUUUAGGAAACUUUUUGCUAAAACAAACACAAAAGGAAAAGAAACCGCAAGUGUCCAAGGCAAUGGAGGAAAGCCUGAGGUAGGGUUUGUCCCAUCGCGAAUCAUCUCCAUGGACCGUUCUGAAGCAUCGAGAAUCAUCUCCAUGGAGCGUUUCUGAACCACGGUGAGUCCUUUCCGUCGACCACUCUGUUUCACCGCCGUAUGGAGCAUCUCAAUUCUAGGAUCUCAAGUCAUCACUCAACAAUGGGAGUCAUUCAAGUAACUGUUUUGGAACCAAUGGAAGCUACCAAACAGCAUCAGGAUAGUUUCGGGGGUUUAUCCGGAGACUCAACAACAAGAAGCUGACAUGAACAAUACUAAUGUAACUCACUAAUCUGAUAAACCUCGAGAUCCAUCCUAGACUUGCCAAAUAAUGAUCUCUCAAGUGUUCUUCUAACAGGUUCUGAUUACCUCUCACAUUGAUAAUGUGCACUGCCUUUUUAAUAUCGUGAUUAUGUGCUCUGUAUUGUUUAAAUAAGUGAUUAUGUGCUCUGUAUUGUUUCGAUAAGUGAUUAAUAUGACUUGUAUUGUUUCGAUAAGUGAUAAUGUGCACUACCUAUUUCACGUAGCUCUGCAAUGUUUCGAUAAGUGAUAAUGUGCACUGCCUAUUUCACGUAGCUCUGCAAUGUUUCAAUAAGUGAUAAUGUGCACUGCCUAUUUCACAUA